rnacentral:rRNA from 1 species
UGGGGAAUUUUGGACAAUGGGCGAAAGCCUGAUCCAGCAAUGCCGCGUGUGUGAAGAAGGCCUUCGGGUUGUAAAGCACUUUUGUCCGGAAAGAAAUCCUUGGCUCUAAUACAGUCGGGGGAUGACGGUACCGGAAGAAUAAGCACCGGCUAACUACGUGCCAGCAGCCGCGGUAAUACGUAGGGUGCAAGCGUUAAUCGGAAUUACUGGGCGUAAAGCGUGCGCAGGCGGUUUGCUAAGACCGAUGUGAAAUCCCCGGGCUCAACCUGGGAACUGCAUUGGUGACUGGCAGGCUAGAGUAUGGCAGAGGGGGUAGAAUUCCACGUGUAGCAGUGAAAUGCGUAGAGAUGUGGAGGAAUACCGAUGGCGAAGGCAGCCCCCUGGGCCAAUACUGACGCUCAUGCACGAAAGCGUGGGGAGCAAACAGGAUUAGAUACCCUGGUAGUCCACGCCCUAAACGAUGUCAACUAGUUGUUGGGGAUUCAUUUCCUUAGUAACGUACUAACGCGUGAAGUUGACCGCCUGGGGAGUACGGUCGCAAGAUUAAAACUUAAAGGAAUUGACGGGGUCAUAGCUGUUUCCU